rnacentral:rRNA from 1 species
CACUAUGCUUAGCCUUAAACAUUGAUUGUUUACCACAUCAAACAUCCGCCUGGGAAUUACGAACACUAGUUUAAAACCCAAAGGACUUGGCGGUGCUUAACAUCCACCUAGAGGAGCCUGUUCUAGAACCGAUAACCCCCGUUUAACCUCACCCUCCCUAGUUUUCUCCCGCCUAUAUACCACCGUCGCCAGCUUACCCUGUGAAGGCCUAAUAGUAAGCACAAUUGGCACAGCCCAAAACGUCAGGUCGAGGUGUAGUGCAUGAGAGGGGAAGAAAUGGGCUACAUUCGCUGCCUACCAGCGAAUACGAAUGAUGCAUUGAAAUAUGCAACUGAAGGAGGAUUUAGCAGUAAGUAGAAAGCAGAGUGUUCCACUGAAACCGGCUCUUAAGCGCGCACACACCGCCCGUCACCCUCUCCGAGCAUCUGGCCCCAAAUUUUAUUAAAUCCUAACAACCGCGAAGGAGAGGAAAGUCGUAA